UGAAUUCCACUAUGGUCUCUGCAUUCACGGCCUUGUUUCUUGGUGGGGUUGAUAGGCUGCUUCCAUUGAUCCAAGACAGUUUUCCUGAGCUCGGUUUGACUAGAAAAGACUGCAGAGAAAUGACUUUUGUUGAAUCUAUCGUCUAUUUUGAUGGUUAUGAGGUUGAAGAUCCGAUUAAUGUGGAUGUAUUGCUUGGUAGGGAUUUUCACGUAAGGUUUAUCAGAGGAAAAGCAGACUAUUUAACAGAACCAAUUCCUGAAGAAGCUUUUCAAGGAAUUUAUGAUAUAUUUUUUGAACAGGAUCAGGAAACUAACGGCGUUCUAUUGUUUUUUCCUUAUGGUGGGAAGAUAAGUGAGAUUUCAGAGUCCGAAAUUCCGUACCCACAUAGAGCUGGUAACAUAUACACACUUUUAUACUAUGCGGGUUGGGAUCUAGAAUCAACUGAUGACACAUAUCAAAGGCAUGACAAUAUGCUCAAAAAGUUGUUCAAUUAUAUGACUCCCUAUGUUGCCAAAAAUCCUAGAACAGCGUAUAUUAAUUACAGGGAUCUUGACGUCGGAACAAAUGACAAAUUAGGCCACACAAGCGUCCAGGAAGCCAGCGUUUGGGGUAAAAAGUAUUUCAAAAAUAAUUUCUACAGGUUGGUGCAUGUGAAAACUAUGGUGGAUCCUGAAAAUUUCUUCAGAAAUGAACAAAGCAUUCCCCCUUUCAACUUGGUGAAAGAUGAACUGUGAGCAAGUCCAAGGCUGCCCUUGCUAGUUAAUAAACGUAGUGCAGGCUAGGGUCAGAUAAUAUAUGUGUGUGUGUGUGUGUGUGUGUGAGAGAGAGAGAGAGAGAUAGAGAGAGAUAAUUGUAUUGCUAAAUAAUUUCUGCUUUAUAUAGUCUUUUUAUGUGCAAAGUAUACCUUUUUUAUUUUCUGUUUUUCCUCUUUUGGGCUUAGAUUAGCAGGGAAAUAGAGGAUUUGGUGCCAAAGAGAAGUAGUAAAAAUUUUUGGGUACUUGCAUGCUCUUUCUAUAUUAUUAGGGUGGUAACGUACAUGAAAUUUAUAUUUCAUUGCUUUAUGCAUAACUCUCUCUUUUAUUUUUUAUUUGAAAUUUUUGUUCUCUCAAGCAAUAUUAAUUUUAAGCGACACUAACAUAAGAAAAUAAUUAUUAUUUAUUAACAAUAUGAAAGUAGCACUAUCAGCAAUGUUUGAGAACAAUCAAAUUUGAUUUCUAAGAUUUGAGAGAAUUUGCACCCUUUUUAAAUUAUCAUUUUUUAAUAAUAUAUAAUGGUAAAAAAUUAUAGGUUAUGGGCCCAUGUAUGCAGGAAGGUCCAGCCCACAUCCUAAUUGUAAGGCCUUGGACUUGAAAUAAAGUAGUGGUUUUAUAUAUGAGUCCAGCUAUGGUACCAUAGUGAUACCAUAUUUUUACCCUUUAUAUAUAUUUUUUUUUCAAAAAAGAACAUUCUUUCAUCAAUCGGACAAUGAAGUGAAUGGUUAGAUUCUAAAAUUUAUUACAAAAUUUCUAGUUCAUUUGGAUAUUUGUUAUCUGCAACGCUCACAUUCCAAUAUUUGUGUAAGAAUAUGGUUACAAAGAUUUUGUUAAAGCGAACGUAUAAAGUAGAAAGUUCACAUCAAAAUCAUAUUUAAUUAGUACGAUUUUAAAAGACUUAUAAAUUAACCCUACAACACGUCAAAGGGAAUGAAGAAAUGAGUAAAAUGUAAGCCUUCUAGAUUCUUAGUUUUACGUAUUUAUUUAUACCUUAAAUAUGAAUUCAGCCGAUUCAAAGCUAUGAAUAUUGGCCCCAAAAUUUUCAAUUCAGUUCUUCAAUCUAUAUCUCAUUGUCUCAAUGCGGGGCACUGGGAAGCCAGUAUAGGACUAGCUGGGGUACAUCCCCAGGUGGUUUUGGGAAAUUGCCCCCAUCUGUGUGUUUAAAAUUAUGAAAAAUCCUUCUUGAUUGUGAAAAGUUUAGUAAUUGCCCAUAGUUUAAAAAUUGAAUUUACUUACCCAUGGUUAGAGAUAGUCAUUGGGCUAUACGGGCUCAUUAAAAAAUGGCCAUUUUGGCCCAACAUAAAAGUAAAUCUGAGUCCUAACAUGGCCCAUAGGUACAGCAUAUGUCGCCCGUGCUGGCCUGUCGUACAAUAUGGGCCCUGCCUUGGGUCAUCCCACGGGCCUCAAUUUUAAUAAAGAAUUUAUUUUUUUUGGUUUUUGUCGAGUCAUGAUUCUAUUGAUCCAUAUCAAGUUAUCCACUAAAUUCAAGUGUUCAGCAAUAAUAAUAAAUAUUGAUAUUUGAUAACUAAUAACUAAUAAUAAAUUAUGAAUUAAAAGAGUUUAUAAUGUUAUUUUUAAUUUAAUUGAGUAAUAUUUUUAUUUACUCUUUAAAAAUAAAAUUAUUAAUAACGAUUCAAAUCAUUCAAUAAAAUUUAAAUUAACUCAGUUAUAGGUUUAUCAAUGGAAAAUUAGAAAUUCAAAAUACAAUGUAAAAUUCCAAAUUUAAUUUUUAAAGUUUAAACUUUAGCUUUUAAGUUUGUAUUUUUAUUUUCUUCAACAAACUAAAAUAAGAAAUUAACAAAAAAAAAUUUCAAAAAAAUUGGAGUUGAUCCAUGGGCUCGUGUCUUGGCCAUUGCCAUGCCUUAUAAGAUUUCGUUCUUAAUAUAUAAUCAGCUUCCUCAAAAAAUGAAUUCUUAAUGUAGAAAUAAAUCAAUGAAUAUUAUAUUUAUAGUGCCAUAUAUAUUGUUAUUUGAACUUUUUGAAGUUAUAUUGCCCUUUUUUUUAAGGUUUGGAUGGUAAUGAGAAAUCUUACUCAUUAAUACUAAUUCUCACCGGCUUACCCUAUAUUAUUCACUCAAAUGACUGCAAGUGCAAGAUAUAAUACAGUCAACUGAGCUAUGCUUAAGAAAUGAAAUUGUAAUACACGUUGAAUGUGCCCCAACUAAAUUUUUUUUUUUUACUGCGUCCAUGUAUCUCGUUGUUAUAUAUUUAGAUGUACUUGAAAAUUAAAGUGUAAUAUUGUUGUUAACGAGAAAAAAAAGGGGCCAAAAAUAGAACAUUUUAACUAUCCUUUAAAUUCAGUAAGCAUUUUUAUUAUAAGCCAUUCAAGACAUCAUUCAAUAAAGGAAAAUUAUCAGCCAUAUACCCUUAAAUGAUAUCAGUAUAAAACGUGCUACACCACUUUUUAAGUAUAUCACUCGCAUACCCUAAGUUGACAAAACACUUCUGCUGUCCACCAAUCCGUUAACUGCCGUUUGCAAGCGUUAACAUCAUAAGGGUAAUCUAGUCUUUUUUAAGAAACGACAUGUCAUUCUAUUUACCUAAUAAAAUAUGACAUGUCAUAUGAUAUAUAUUGAUAAAAAUGACAUAUCAUCCCAUUUAUCGGAUAAAUGUUAAUAAUUGCUAAAAAAAAGCUACUUUACAACCGAAUUUACUCCUCCAAAAGUUAACUUAAAUUUUUGAAAAUCUACUCCUCCAAGCUCCAACUGAAAUUUUGUAUGGUAUAAUAUUUAUAAUUGUAAAUAAUAUAUUGUUAAUAAUUUUUUAUGGUAUAAUAUGAAUAUUUUUUACGGAUAAUUGUUAAUAAUAUGUACCAUUAAUAAUUCAUAUUUUUUUAAUAAAUAUAUUGUUAAUAAAAAAAUAAAAAAAUUGUGUAUUAAAAAUUUACGUAAAUUUUUUUGGUAAAUUUAUCUUUUUACCUCAUUUUGAGUUUCAAGGGCGAAAUAGUUAAUUUGCCACAAUUCUGUUAACUUUCUAAUAGAAGUUAACGGAUUAGUGGACGGCAGAAGUGUUUUGUCAACUUAGGGUAUACGAGUGAUACUCUGAAAAAAUAUUGUAGCACGUUUGAUACGAGCGUCAUUUAAGAGCAUAUGACUGAUAAUUUCCCUUCAAUAAAGGGUAAAGAACAUGAAAAACAGUGAUAACAAAAAGUUAUUAAAUUAUAGUAUCUAGUCAUACACAUUUUUUAUUGGAGAAACAAAAUAGAAAAACAUCUAACAUAAAAAAUGUUUCUCUCAUUUCAUAAAAUAUAUGGGAGCUCUUGAAAUUGAAUCUGUAUAGGGUAAAAAAUUGAUUUUGUUAAGAACAAUAGUCUUAUUAUCUACUUACACGAGUACCUCUUUAUAUAUAGGCAAAGUCAUUUUAUCUUAGAACAGAUUUUAAAAAAUUGUGUACGGAGCACGUGAUUAUGCACAUUCCUAGGCUGGCCCUGGCUAUUCUAAUUAAGUGAAAAAUAUAAAUCUGAGAUAAAGAUAUAACAUUUGAAAAUUUACCCUGUUAACGUGAAUUAUUAGUUUGUCCCCUUUGUUUUACACUAAAUUUUGUAAUAGCCUACUAAACUUUAUGGCUUACAAUGCUUCAAGAAUAAAAUUUAUCUAAUAUUUAACUAAUUUCUUAAAUAAAAUAAUUAUUACUAACAUUAAUUAUUUCAAAAAUUUUAGGCUUAUAGCAAACCAAACUGUGGCGAUCGUAAAUCAUUGUGGAAACAUAUUCGACUAGAGUCACCUACUACGGGUAACACCACAUAACUUUUGUUGAUUCUAUUUUUGAUUUAUUGAUAAUAAUAAUUAUAGGAUUGAUAUAUGGUACAUAACAAUGUACUUUAACAAUUCCCCCUCAAUGUUUAUCAUCACAUGGACAUCACGAUGACUCUUCAAUGUUUAUCGUCACCCAUUCUAGACUCCUCCAUAGAUUCCUCAUGAUGAUUCAAUCAAACGGCUGUGAUGAGCUCUAUUGACGGCUUUGAAUUAAUUCUUCUUUCCUGCUCAUGAACUCUCAUUGCGAGACUUCAUCGAACGAUUCUUUCUUUUAACUUGCGCCCAAUCAAACCAAGUUACUUGAAUCAACUCCCUAAAGCAAAUAGUUUUUGCGCAUAAUUUUAAUAUAUUCGUAAGUUUACAAAUCUUUAAAAUUGGCAUAAUAGUAAUGAGAUUGAUGAGCAUAAUUUAUAUACAUAUUUUACCUUUUAUUAUAUAAUUGCUAGUUAAUUUUAUUUAUUAUUUUUAAUUAAUUGAAUUAUUUUAUUAAAUAGGGAGUUAAUUGGAGAUUAUGGAUGAAAAGUACAUAAAGAAUAAUAAAUGGACAGCAUUAAAGAUCAAAUCAAUUUGUGAAAGUAAUUAAGGAGAUGUGCAAGAAAUUCUGUUCGAAGAAAACAAAGCCAAUAAAUUGAAUUCUCCAUGCUCGUGCAAACAAAGAAGAAGGUUAAAGCUAAAGUGGGCAGCACAUAAAACAAAUCUUUUAAUUAAGCCUUUGAAUGGAAAGUCAAAGUAGAAUAAAGGAAGGAAAUCAAUAGCUUUUGGCUUUUAUGAGAAGAAAAUCUGCAGUAGUUCGACUUUCAUGGCUGCAUUUAUUUCUUUUGUUGCUCACAAUUUAAGUAUGUUUAGCUAAUUUUCUUAUACUGAGGUUAAGGAUGAAACCCUAUUCAAUGAAAUAAUUAUCUCUUUUUAUUUAAUUAAUUCCCUAUAUAUGUUCUUUGAUGAUUAUGGUUUUUAUUUCACAUGAUUAAUUGGAUGUUAUUAAAAUCUUUUCAUCAAUUCUGUCAUGCAUUAUUGAUUGUUAGGAUUAAUAUUCGAUUAAUUCUAUGCUUGGAUCUAUAAAGUUUAUACAUGAUUAUCUUUGAUUUUAUGUCUUUCAUUAAAUUGUUUACAUGGAGUGCUUAGGAAACUUUGACUCUUUGUUAUUCAAUAUGUUUACAUGGGAGGCUUAGAUGUCAUAUUAUUAAGCAGAAAAAGAACUUACAUUAGAUUUAAUUACUUGGGCUUAAUUGUUAUAUCCAUGAGAUAACAUAGAUUGAUUUCGAGUUGUCACUGUAAAAUUGGGGAUUAAUUAAUAAUUAGAUAAUUACUAGUUGAAUAGUGGUGGAUUCUGAAACCUUGGUAAUUCUUAUCUUAUUGAAUUCUCCUUUAUUUUAAUUGCUUCCUUAGUUUAAUUGGUUUAAUUUUCUUAAAAACUCAAUUUGCUCAACUAGGUUAGAAUUAAUAUUAAUUUUAGAUUUAAAUUAGACUUUUUAAUUUAUAACAAUCCUUGUGGGAUCGACCUCGUUACCACUAUUCUAUUUCUAGAUUUGUGUGCUUGCGAGUAUAUUAAAAUUUUCACAACAAGUUUUUGGCGCCGUUGCCGGGGAUUGUGCGAGAAAGUCAAGUUUAAUCUAGGUUAAUUUGAUUUUUCCACUAGUUAUAAUUUAGGUUGUCUUUUAUUUUAUUUAUUCAAUUUUUAUUUUUAUUUUAUUUUAUUUUGAAUUCAUUCUUUAGUUGUUUAAUUUCUUUUUUUUUUAAUUUCGUUUAUUCUCAUUAUUGUUGGUUUAUUUUAUUUUAUUUUCUUUCCUUGUCUGGUUAGUUUAUGAGUGUUUGGGAACGUGAUUCAACAAAUCGUUUGAUUAAAAGAGAGUCGAAAAUUGAUAGUAGUCAAGCUAGUUCUUUAGAAGUGAUGGAUGACCCAAAUAGACUAUUGCUAAUACUUCCACCAGUGCAAGCAGAGAAAACCCUUAGAGAAUAUUUUUCACCACUUGCAGCCAACCAACCAUCUUGUAUUUUGUUGCCACAAACCACAGCAACACACUUUGAACUAAAGCCCUCUAUCAUUCAACUUUUACCAUCUUUCCAUGGGUUAGAGAGAGAGGAUCCAUAUUUGCACAUUAAGGAAUUUCUUGACAUAUGCUCUACAUUUCGUUUUCAAAAUUUUAAUGAUGAGUCAAUCAGGCUUCGUAUGUUCCCUUUCUCAUUAAAAGACAAGGCGAAAGCUUGGUUGAAUUCACUUCCUGCUGGGUCUAUUACUACGUGGGAUGAAUUGAGUAAUAAGUUCCUCACCAAGUUUUUCCCUAUGUCUAAAACAAAUGCCCUUAGGAGAGAGAUAAGUGAUUUUUAUCAAAGAGAGGGUGAGCAAUUUUAUGAGUGUUGGGAAAGAUUCAAUGAUUUACUCCUCAAGUGUCCCCACCAUGGUUUUGAAAAAUGGAGACUUAUACAAUGCUUUUAUAACGGUUUAACCAUGUCAAAUCGUCAUAUGGUAGAGUCUAUGAAUGGUGGGAGAUUUUUGAACUUACAUGAAGGGGCCGCAUGGGAUUUCUUUAAUUCACUUUCUGAAAAUUCUCAACAGUGGGAUUUUUCAAAUCAAAGGGAAAAAUCAUCUCAAGUUUCUAGAAAGGGGUUAUACGAAGUUAAGGAUGACUUUGAUGUGAAAGCCACUCUAACUACACUUUCUAGGAAAGUAGAUGCCUUAGCUCUGAACCAAUCAAUGAAUCAUCAUCCUAGUGUAGCUAAUGAGGUUUGUGCUCUUUGUUCUAACUUGUCUCAUACAGCACAGAAUUGUCCAUCAUUACCAGUCUAUCCAGAGGCUUAUUCUGAGCAGGUACAUGCCUUACAAUCAUAUGAAAUAACCUCCAAUAGUCCAUAUUCAUCCACAUAUAAUCCUAAUUGGAGGAAUCACCCUAAUUUUUCUUGGAAACAAAACCAACCUUUGUCAAACCAAGGAGGGCAACAAUUUAACAUGCCCAAUCAACAAUUUGUCCCUCCUAACCAAGUAUAUCCUCCUGCCCAACAACCUAUGUCUCAAUUUGUUGCACCCCAACAAAGAAAGCCUUCGUUAGAGGAUACACUUCAAAGUUUCAUUCAGUCAACCCAACAAGCCUUUCAGUCAAACACUCAAGCUAUUCUAAAGCUUGAACAUCAAUUGGGUCAAUUAGCAACUACUGUAGCAGAAAGAGAAAAAGGAAAAUUUCCAAGUCAACUAAUUCCUAAUCCCAAAGGAGUGAAUGAAGUUGGAUCGAGUUCAAGCCAUCAACAUGAAGAAGCAAAAUCUGUUAUGACCUUGAGAAGAGGAAAAUUAUUUGACAACAAGGUGGAGGUUCAAACAAGAAAGACAUCUGAGCAUACUUCUUCAGAUCUAGUUCCAUCACAAGACUCAUCACCAAAUGAUCUAGAAGAGAGUGGCCCGCCAGCUUACAUUCCCAAGGCUCCUUUUCCUCAAAGGUUAACAAAGGUAAAGAAAGAGACUUCAACAGGUGAGAUUAUGGAAAUCUUCAAGCAGGUAAGUAUAAACAUCCCUUUACUCGAUGCUAUUAAGCAAGUUCCUUCCUAUGCCAAGUUUUUGAAAGAUUUAUGCACUAAAAAAAGAAAUUUGCAUGUCACUAAAAAGGCGUUUUUAACUGAACAAAUUAGCAAUUUACUUCAAUGUAAAAUGCCACCAAAAUUUAAGGAUCCUGGUUCUCCUACUAUCUCAUGUGUUAUAGGGAACCAAUGUUUUGAUAAAGCAUUAUUGGAUUUGGGUGCUAGUGUUAAUCUCUUGCCUUAUUCUGUUUACAUGCAGCUUGGACUUGGUGAGUUAAAGCCAACUUCUAUUAUUUUGCAACUUGCUGAUAGGUCAAUGAAAAUACCUCGUGGUAUUAUAGAGGAUGUGUUGAUACAGAUCGACAAAUUUUAUUAUCCUGUUGAUUUUAUUGUUAUUGAUACUCAGCAUGUACAUGAUCCUAAGAAACACACCCCAGUUAUUCUAGGUCGUCCUUUCUUAGCUACAGCUGAUGCUCAUAUUAGUUGCAGGACUGGAAACAUGCAAUUGUCUUUUGGUAACAUGACCAUGGAAUUAAAUAUUUUUAAUGUUCCCAAGCAGGCACAAGAAGAUGAUGAAGUCGUUGAAGUAGAUAUGAUAGAAGCAUCAAUNNNNNNNNNNNNNNNNNNNNNNNNNNNNNNNNNNNNNNNNNNNNNNNNNNNNNNNNNNNNNNNNNNNNNNNNNNNNNNNNNNNNNNNNNNNNNNNNNNNNNNNNNNNNNNNNNNNNNNNNNNNNNNNNNNNNNNNNNNNNNNNNNNNNNNNNNNNNNNNNNNNNNNNNNNNNNNNNNNNNNNNNNNNNNNNNNNNNNNNNNNNNNNNNNNNNNNNNNNNNNNNNNNNNNNNNNNNNNNNNNNNNNNNNNNNNNNNNNNNNNNNNNNNNNNNNNNNNNNNNNNNNNNNNNNNNNNNNNNNNNNNNNNNNNNNNNNNNNNNNNNNNNNNNNNNNNNNNNNNNNNNNNNNNNNNNNNNNNNNNNNNNNNNNNNNNNNNNNNNNNNNNNNNNNNNNNNNNNNNNNNNNNNNNNNNNNNNNNNNNNNNNNNNNNNNNNNNNNNNNNNNNNNNNNNNNNNNNNNNNNNNNNNNNNNNNNNNNNNNNNNNNNNNNNNNNNNNNNNNNNNNNNNNNNNNNNNNNNNNNNNNNNNNNNNNNNNNNNNNNNNNNNNNNNNNNNNNNNNNNNNNNNNNNNNNNNNNNNNNNNNNNNNNNNNNNNNNNNNNNNNNNNNNNNNNNNNNNNNNNNNNNNNNNNNNNNNNNNNNNNNNNNNNNNNNNNNNNNNNAUGGGAUUUCUUUAAUUCACUUUCUGAAAAUUCUCAACAGUGGGAUUUUUCAAAUCAAAGGGAAAAAUCAUCUCAAGUUUCUAGAAAGGGGUUAUACGAAGUUAAGGAUGACUUUGAUGUGAAAGCCACUCUAACUACACUUUCUAGGAAAGUAGAUGCCUUAGCUCUGAACCAAUCAAUGAAUCAUCAUCCUAGUGUAGCUAAUGAGGUUUGUGCUCUUUGUUCUAACUUGUCUCAUACAGCACAGAAUUGUCCAUCAUUACCAGUCUAUCCAGAGGCUUAUUCUGAGCAGGUACAUGCCUUACAAUCAUAUGAAAUAACCUCCAAUAGUCCAUAUUCAUCCACAUAUAAUCCUAAUUGGAGGAAUCACCCUAAUUUUUCUUGGAAACAAAACCAACCUUUGUCAAACCAAGGAGGGCAACAAUUUAACAUGCCCAAUCAACAAUUUGUCCCUCCUAACCAAGUAUAUCCUCCUGCCCAACAACCUAUGUCUCAAUUUGUUGCACCCCAACAAAGAAAGCCUUCGUUAGAGGAUACACUUCAAAGUUUCAUUCAGUCAACCCAACAAGCCUUUCAGUCAAACACUCAAGCUAUUCUAAAGCUUGAACAUCCUGGUAUUAUCUGUAUAAUUGCUUUGAUUUUCACCAAAUUCUUAUUGAUCCUGGUUGAUUUGUUGUUUACAUUAAUUAGUUAGUUAGUAGGAUUUUUUGUUAAACAUUGUGUUUGUUGCACUUGCAUUACAAAAAUCUAUUAGACAAAUCAAAACCACUUGACCACUUGUCUCUCAUGGUUACAUUGUCAUCUAUGAGUAUUCCAAACUUUUAUUCCCGAGCUAGAUUAUAUUCACACUGGCAGAUUGUAAUGAAUAAAGGGUUAGAAACAUUAAGAAGAAAUAAUACAUAGGAUAUUGUACAUUGUCCAGCUUGUUGUAAACCAAUCAGGUGUAAAUGAGUGUACUUUAUCAAAUAGAAAGUUUACGGUUCUUUGGAUCAUUAUUGUUUAGCCACUCUUGGGAAUUGGCAAGAAUAUGGUAUAAACUAUCAUGAGACAUUUGCUCGAGUGGCUAAAAUGACAAUAGUUUGCACUUUGUUAGGAAUUGCAGGUUCACAAGCAUGGCCUCUUUUUCAAAUCAAUAUAAAAGCUCAAUUCUUGCAAGGAGAUCUAUAAAAAGAAGUCUACAUGAAGCUUUUGCCUGGUGUACUGCUGUACGGCCAAGGCGGAUGUACGGUACAGCAGUGCAAUCGCGAUUACCUGUGAAAGUGGUUUAGUUAGGAUUUACCUUUUUUUUCAUUGUUUUUAUUUUUUUUUUUAUUUUUUUUUAUUUUUAGUUUUAGUUUUGCUCGAGGACUAGCAAAAUCUAAGUUUGGGGGUAUUUGAUGAGCAUAAUUUAUAUACAUAUUUUACCCUUUAUUAUAUAAUUGCUAGUUAAUUUUAUUUAUUAUUUUUAAUUAAUUGAAUUAUUUUAUUAAAUAGGGAGUUAAUUGGAGAUUAUGGAUGAAAAGUACAUAAAGAAUAAUAAAUGGACAGCAUUAAAGAUCAAAUCAAUUUGUGAAAGUAAUUAAGGAGAUGUGCAAGAAAUUCUGUUCGAAGAAAACAAAGCCAAUAAAUUGAAUUCUCCAUGCUCGUGCAAACAAAGAAGAAGGUUAAAGCUAAAGUGGGCAGCACAUAAAACAAAUCUUUUAAUUAAGCCUUUGAAUGGAAAGUCAAAGUAGAAUAAAGGAAGGAAAUCAAUAGCUUUUGGCUUUUAUNNNNNNNNNNNNNNNNNNNNNNNNNNNNNNNNNNNNNNNNNNNNNNNNNNNNNNNNNNNNNNNNNNNNNNNNNNNNNNNNNNNNNNNNNNNNNNNNNNNNNNNNNNNNNNNNNNNNNNNNNNNNNNNNNNNNNNNNNNNNNNNNNNNNNNNNNNNNNNNNNNNNNNNNNNNNNNNNAAACCACAGCAACACACUUUGAACUCAAGCCCUCUGUCAUUCAACUUUUACCAUCUUUCCAUGGGUUAGAGAGAGAGGAUCCAUAUUUGCAUAUUAAGGAAUUUCUUGACAUAUGCUCUACAUUUCGUUUUCAAAAUUUUAAUGAUGAGUCAAUUAGGCUUCGUAUGUUCCCUUUCUCAUUAAAAGACAAAGCGAAAGCUUGGUUGAAUUCACUUCCUGCUGGGUCUAUUACUACAUGGCAUGAAUUGAGUAAUAAAUUCCUCACCAAGUUUUUCCCUAUGUCUAAAACAAAUGCCCUUAGGAGAGAGAUAAGUGAUUUUUAUCAAAGAGAGGGAGAGCAAUUUUAUGAGUGUUGGGAAAGAUUUAAUGAUUUACUCCUUAAGUGCCCCCACCAUGGUUUUGAGAAAUGGAAACUUAUACAAUGCUUUUAUAACGGUUUAACCAUGUCAAAUCGUCAUAUGGUAGAGUCUAUGAAUGGUGGGAGAUUUUUGAACCUACAUGAAGGGGCUGCAUAGGAUUUCUUUAAUUCACUUUCUGAAAAUUCUCAACCUGCUGUACGGCCAAGGCGGAUGUACGGUACAGCAGAGGAGAUGUGCAAGAAAUUCUGUUCGAAGAAAACAAAGCCAAUAAAUUGAAUUCUCCAUGCUCGUGCAAACAAAGAAGAAGGUUAAAGCUAAAGUGGGCAGCACAUAAAACAAAUCUUUUAAUUAAGCCUUUGAAUGGAAAGUCAAAGUAGAAUAAAGGAAGGAAAUCAAUAGCUUUUGGCUUUUAUGUUUUCAAUUACGUGGCAAGCUUUGGGCUUUAGCUUGUAAAAGUUGGUUUAGUUAUUAGAAUCACAAUAGGAUUCGGUGGCCAAGCAAUAUAAAAGGGGAGCUGCAGACGCAAGGCAGAGGAGGGGAGAAAAGGACGAGAGCAGCAGUUCGGCUUCAUGGCUGAUUUUUAUUUUUUUUGUUGCUCCCAAUUCAAGUAUGUCUAGCUAAUUUUCUUUUACUAAGGUUAAGGAUGAAAUCCUAUUUAAUAAAAUAAUUAUCUUUUUAUUUAUUUAAUUCCCUAUAUAUGUUCUUUAAUAAUUAUGGUUUUUAUUUCACAUGAUUAAUUGGAUGUUAUUAAAAUCUUUUCAUCAAUUCUGUCAUGCAUUAUUGAUUGUUAGGAUUAAUAUUCGAUUAAAUCUAUGCUUGGAUCUUUAAAGUUUAUACAUGAUUAUCUUUGAUUUUAUGUCUUUCAUUAAAUUGUUUACAUAGAGUGCUUAGGAAACUUUGACUCUUUGUUAUUCAAUGGAUUAAUUAAUAAUUAGAUAAUUACUAGUUGAAUAGUGGUGGAUUCUGAAACCUUGGUAAUUCUUAUCUUAUUGAAUUCUCCUUUAUUUUAAUUGCUUCCUUAGUUUAAUUGGUUUAAUUUUCUUAAAAACUCAAUUUGCUCAACUAGGUUAGAAUUAAUAUUAAUUUUAGAUUUAAAUUAGACUUUUUAAUUUAUAACAAUCCUUGUGGGAUCGACCUCGUUACCACUAUUCUAUUUCUAGAUUUGUGUGCUUGCGAGUAUAUUAAAAUUUUCACAACAGAGAUCAAACCACAAAAACUGAUAUAAAUUGAAAAGUUUAAUUUAAAUUUAAAUAAUAUUAAUUGUAAACUAGUUGAACAAAUUUAAUUUUAAAGAAAAUUAAACUAAUAAAACUAAUAAAACAAUUAAAACAAAAGAGAUUUUAAUAAAAUAAAGGCUAUCAAUGUUUCAUAAUCUAACAUUAUUCGACUCUUAAUUAUCUAAUUAUUAUUAAUUUCUAGUUUUGGAGUAACAACUCGUAUCAAUCUAUAAUCGAACCAAUCUAUCUCAUCUCAUUAAGCCUAAGUAAUUAAAUCUAAUGUACGUUCUUUUUUGUUUCAAAGUAUAAUUUUUAAGCAUUAUAUAUAUAUAUAUAUAUAUAUAUAUAUCAUAUUGAAAAACGAAAAAUCAAAAUUUCCUAAACAUUUUGUGUAUCUAAUUUAUUGAAAAAUAAAUAAUCAAAGAGAAUCACAUUAGUGAUUAUUUUACCAAACUUAUAUUCAAUCAAAUAAUCUCUUAACUAUCAAGAAUACAUAAUAUUAAAAAUGAAAAGAUAAUUCUCCAAUCAAUCACGUGAAGCAACAACCAUAAUCAUUAAAGAACAUAUAUAGCGAAUGAAUUAUAUAUAAAAAAAAAUUAUUUCAUUGAACAAAGUUUCAUUUUUAAUUUUAGUUUAAAAAAAUUAAUAAGACAUUCUUGAAUUGAGAGUAAUAAAAUUGAUAUAACGAGCCAUGGAAACAAGCUUUGAAGAACUGCUGCUGCAGUGCUCCUCUUCCUCCCUGCCUUACAUAAUCCCCACGACCAUCCAUUAUCGGCGGAAUCCAAUCCUUAUAAUGCCCAUGACCAUCCGCUAUUUGCCGAAUCUAACCAAUUUUGAAAACAAUCUUUCUAAUUGACGCCACAAUCCUCUGCCCGUGUUUUCUGAUCGCAGAAUUGAAAUUCCUUCCAAAUGCAAACAAUCUUUCUAAGCCGUGUUUUCCACGGCUUCUAUUAAUUCUUUAAACGCUUCACCAAAUUAUUAUUUUUCAUGUGCUUUUCAUCCAUUAUCUCUAAUUAAUUUCUCGUUCAAUAUAAUAAUUUAAUUAAUUUAAAUUAAUAAUUAAAAUUAACUAAUAAAUAUAUAAUUAAGGGUGAAAUAAGUAUAUAUUAUAUGCUUGUAUAUAAAUUCCACAUAACUUAAACGAUGAUUUAUGCCCUUAUAAUAUUUUAAAAAUGAAUUGACGAAUUUUACUUAUCUUUUGAACUAAUUUAAAAUUGCAAUUGACUUAACUUAAAUUUUAUUUUCUUAAUUUUUAUCAUUUCUUAUGGGUUCGAUCUUUUCAUCACUAAUUAAUAAUUUAAUAAACUCAUGCACGUGCGAGCUCGACGCAAACAUAAAUACGGACUUGAAGAGUUUAAGGGUGCGUUUGGGAUUGAGGUGCUGUAGCUUUUAAGCUACAGCUGCUGUGAAAAAAAAGCUGUAAUUAUGAAAUAAAAGUUAAUAAUAUAUAGUAAAUAUAAAUUUUAAAUAAUAAUUUUGAUAAAAUUAUUAAAGAUAUAAUAGAUUUUGUAUUAUACAAGUGAAAAAUCAUAUCAAUAUAACUUAAAAGCUACAGUAGUUAGUGUUUACCAAACACUUUAGUGCUGUAGCUUUUAAGCUACAGCUGUCCAACCUCAAUCCCAAACGCACCCUAAGCAAGGCUGUUCGAUGUGACUUGUUCUGGGUACCUGUAGAAAAUACAAGGACAGCACAUGCGCAGCAAACAAAGACGACUAAUAUUGGGGUUUGGCCUUGUCAAAAUAAAUUUGAGGUUAAAUGAUAGAGAUAUAUAUGGGGUCCGGCUGAGUUGGAACCCAUAUAUAUCUUGCUGCUUGUUUGACUAAUGCAUUUUAUUUACAUUAUGGUUAUUAAUUUAUUGUUUUAAAUAUUGAUAAAUAUAAUAAAAGGUUUGUCAACAAAACAAGUUUUUACAAUCUUUUAAACUUCAGUCAGAAUAUAUAUAUUCUCACUCAAGUCUAAAAGAUUGUAGCUUCUCAAAAAAAAAAAAAAAUUGUAGAAACUUGUUUUCUUGACAAAACUUUUAAUAUAUUUAUUAAUAUUUAAAAUAAUAAAAUAAUAGCUGCAAUGUGAAUAAAAUGCAUUAGUCAAACAAGUAGCAAGAAAAAAAUAAUGUUAGAAGACUUGUAUAAGGACAGCACCAACUUGCCCCGCAAGGCCGCAACAAUUAACAACAAAGUUUACUUUUCAAUACACUUUGAAAUUUUGGAUUAAACAAUUAUUUUCUUUCAAUUUGUGGUGGCAAGAUCCUGGUCAAUUCUCGUAAAUUUUUUUAGUUUUUUUUAUAAUAUAUUAAUUAUGACAUAUUUAAUUAAUUUUAUUUAGAACGUGGAAGUCAAAAUUUUUGCAGUCAAAAAAUGUUGAAAACUAGAUGGCUACGUACCUCGCGGAAAAUUAUUAAUUAACCAAAAUGUUGUCUUUCCAAUAUACUUCCAAAUUGUGAUGGCGACGUACAUAUUGGGAUACUAAUAUUAGUCAAGUGAUAAUGUGAUAUGUCCAUCCAGAGAGAAGAAUACAUGUGCAGCCAUCCCAGUCCCACUACUUCAAAUAAUAAAUGGCGUUAUGUUAUGCAGCUAGCAGAGCAGUAAGUUUGAAAACGGAACACAACUUUUAAUUUAAAAUAUUAAAUUAAAUUAUAAUAUUGUCAAGAUGUUCAACUGUUCAUAUAUAUGUCUUUUUUAUUUUAUUUUAUUUUCAGGAAAAAAAGAUCUCAAGCAGAAGUUGAAGCCAAAUCAAUUGCUGUAUCUAGUAGCAGCAUCUCCUAAAUUUUUCUAACUUCUUCUGUGAAUUGGACAAUUUUUUUUUUUUCAAUUGCCGUUGCAGGCAAGGAAAUGAGUGUAAAAAUCUAUAUGUUUUAACAUAUUAUUUAGCAAACAAAAAUUAAUAACUAAAAUUAUAUUAAAGAAUUUAUUUACAACUUGACCUGAUUCCACUUGUUGUAAAUAUAUACAAAAUUUUUAAUAUUUAAUUUUGUUGUUGAUAAUAGUUUUCUUCUUGUUUUCAGUAAAUUAAUUUAAAUGGUUUACUUUAGGAUAUUUUUGACAUGUUAAUGAGUACAAAGUAAAAUUUAAAUUUUUAUAUUUAAUUGAUGAGUGUACAUGGUAAUAGAGUAUUCAAAGUAAUUUUUAGAGUGCAAAUUUACCACUCAUUUAUAAAUUACCCUGGGUUCAUUACGAGUCUUGGAUCUGCCCUUGGUUUAUCAAGCAUAUAUUUACUACGAAUUAAAAAAAUGAUUGAACUUGCAAUAAAAAUUAUCUAGAUCAAAAUACAAAGAUAAAUUUAACUACUUACUCCACAACUAUGAUCAACAAUUCACUUCUACCUCAAUCUUUUUUUAAGAACAAUUCUCUACUUUUAACUAAUAUCACAGUUCUUAAAACACCUAAUUUUAUUCUUUCUGGCGAUUAUAUAUAUAUAUUUUUUACUAACUACUAUAACUACUUCCUCCAUAACUAUUUAGUUUUUUAGAGGUCUAUACUUAGUUUUUAAUUUAAAUAGUAACUCCGUAUUACAAUUUAAAUUUUCUGCUUUGUUUGUUCAAUAAUAAUUCCCGCUAGCACCAACAUGUUUUCUUGAUGCAUGAAAACAAUGUUACUUGUAUUGCACAAAUUAGAAAAAGAUACAUGAAGAGAGAUAUAAGCACAUUUUACUAAAACUCUUUUACACCCAUUGGCUCUAAUAAAGUAAAAAGUGAAUGUCAAAUAGAUACGUUCUACUAAUAAUUAUGCAGAUAUAUAUAUUUAAAAAAUUUUCCCAGCAUCACACUUUUUGAGAGGCUAGUACAUAGGAUUAGCAUGACUUAAUAGAUUAUAAAGUUAUGAAAUUGAUUGAUGAUAUGAAUAAGAAGAGGAAAGAGGAAGACUGUUAUAAAGCUUGGACAGAUUGGAUGGAUGGUUGUUGACUUGUUUCAUAAAAGUUAAUAAUAUAUAGUAAAUAUAAAUUUUAAAUAAUAAUUUUGAUAAAAUUAUUAAAGAUAUAAUAGAUUUUGUAUUAUACAAGUGAAAAAUCAUAUCAAUAUAACUUAAAAGCUACAGUAGUUAGUGUUUACCAAACACUUUAGUGCUGUAGCUUUUAAGCUACAGCUGUCCAACCUCAAUCCCAAACGCACCCUAAGCAAGGCUGUUCGAUGUGACUUGUUCUGGGUACCUGUAGAAAAUACAAGGACAGCACAUGCGCAGCAAACAAAGACGACUAAUAUUGGGGUUUGGCCUUGUCAAAAUAAAUUUGAGGUUAAAUGAUAGAGAUAUAUAUGGGGUCCGGCUGAGUUGGAACCCAUAUAUAUCUUGCUGCUUGUUUGACUAAUGCAUUUUAUUUACAUUAUGGUUAUUAAUUUAUUGUUUUAAAUAUUGAUAAAUAUAAUAAAAGGUUUGUCAACAAAACAAGUUUUUACAAUCUUUUAAACUUCAGUCAGAAUAUAUAUAUUCUCACUCAAGUCUAAAAGAUUGUAGCUUCUCAAAAAAAAAAAAAAAUUGUAGAAACUUGUUUUCUUGACAAAACUUUUAAUAUAUUUAUUAAUAUUUAAAAUAAUAAAAUAAUAGCUGCAAUGUGAAUAAAAUGCAUUAGUCAAACAAGUAGCAAGAAAAAAAUAAUGUUAGAAGACUUGUAUAAGGACAGCACCAACUUGCCCCGCAAGGCCGCAACAAUUAACAACAAAGUUUACUUUUCAAUACACUUUGAAAUUUUGGAUUAAACAAUUAUUUUCUUUCAAUUUGUGGUGGCAAGAUCCUGGUCAAUUCUCGUAAAUUUUUUUAGUUUUUUUUAUAAUAUAUUAAUUAUGACAUAUUUAAUUAAUUUUAUUUAGAACGUGGAAGUCAAAAUUUUUGCAGUCAAAAAAUGUUGAAAACUAGAUGGCUACGUACCUCGCGGAAAAUUAUUAAUUAACCAAAAUGUUGUCUUUCCAAUAUACUUCCAAAUUGUGAUGGCGACGUACAUAUUGGGAUACUAAUAUUAGUCAAGUGAUAAUGUGAUAUGUCCAUCCAGAGAGAAGAAUACAUGUGCAGCCAUCCCAGUCCCACUACUUCAAAUAAUAAAUGGCGUUAUGUUAUGCAGCUAGCAGAGCAGUAAGUUUGAAAACGGAACACAACUUUUAAUUUAAAAUAUUAAAUUAAAUUAUAAUAUUGUCAAGAUGUUCAACUGUUCAUAUAUAUGUCUUUUUUAUUUUAUUUUAUUUUCAGGAAAAAAAGAUCUCAAGCAGAAGUUGAAGCCAAAUCAAUUGCUGUAUCUAGUAGCAGCAUCUCCUAAAUUUUUCUAACUUCUUCUGUGAAUUGGACAAUUUUUUUUUUUUCAAUUGCCGUUGCAGGCAAGGAAAUGAGUGUAAAAAUCUAUAUGUUUUAACAUAUUAUUUAGCAAACAAAAAUUAAUAACUAAAAUUAUAUUAAAGAAUUUAUUUACAACUUGACCUGAUUCCACUUGUUGUAAAUAUAUACAAAAUUUUUAAUAUUUAAUUUUGUUGUUGAUAAUAGUUUUCUUCUUGUUUUCAGUAAAUUAAUUUAAAUGGUUUACUUUAGGAUAUUUUUGACAUGUUAAUGAGUACAAAGUAAAAUUUAAAUUUUUAUAUUUAAUUGAUGAGUGUACAUGGUAAUAGAGUAUUCAAAGUAAUUUUUAGAGUGCAAAUUUACCACUCAUUUAUAAAUUACCCUGGGUUCAUUACGAGUCUUGGAUCUGCCCUUGGUUUAUCAAGCAUAUAUUUACUACGAAUUAAAAAAAUGAUUGAACUUGCAAUAAAAAUUAUCUAGAUCAAAAUACAAAGAUAAAUUUAACUACUUACUCCACAACUAUGAUCAACAAUUCACUUCUACCUCAAUCUUUUUUUAAGAACAAUUCUCUACUUUUAACUAAUAUCACAGUUCUUAAAACACCUAAUUUUAUUCUUUCUGGCGAUUAUAUAUAUAUAUUUUUUACUAACUACUAUAACUACUUCCUCCAUAACUAUUUAGUUUUUUAGAGGUCUAUACUUAGUUUUUAAUUUAAAUAGUAACUCCGUAUUACAAUUUAAAUUUUCUGCUUUGUUUGUUCAAUAAUAAUUCCCGCUAGCACCAACAUGUUUUCUUGAUGCAUGAAAACAAUGUUACUUGUAUUGCACAAAUUAGAAAAAGAUACAUGAAGAGAGAUAUAAGCACAUUUUACUAAAACUCUUUUACACCCAUUGGCUCUAAUAAAGUAAAAAGUGAAUGUCAAAUAGAUACGUUCUACUAAUAAUUAUGCAGAUAUAUAUAUUUAAAAAAUUUUCCCAGCAUCACACUUUUUGAGAGGCUAGUACAUAGGAUUAGCAUGACUUAAUAGAUUAUAAAGUUAUGAAAUUGAUUGAUGAUAUGAAUAAGAAGAGGAAAGAGGAAGACUGUUAUAAAGCUUGGACAGAUUGGAUGGAUGGUUGUUGACUUGUUUCAUGUUUGUGACGUAUAAAAAAAGGCAGAAGCUAAGUUACGUAACUUACACCCUCUCACACCUAACACUGUUGCUGUGAGAGGCGCAAGUUACGUAACUUAGAUCCUCCCAUAAAAGAAAGGUGGGGUGGGGUGAGUCCAUGAUUUGAUAAAAAAUAGAAUUAAUGUUUUUUUAUUUAAUUUAUUCAAAACAUGCAUUAGUUACACGUAAUCCUCACCCUUGAUUAAUGGUUGAGCUAAAUAGAUCAGGAAUUAGCAUAAGAAAUCGUGUAACUUGAAGGAGACAUCAUUUUAUUUAUUUACACACACUGACAUGACCCGCCCUAACCUAUAUGUUGGGUCCAAGCUAAUAUCAUGCGGUCUAGUAAUUAAAAUUCAUGGCACAAACUUAAUUCAUGAAUAUAUAUUUAUAAAAUAUACCCGUUACUAUAAACACAUAAUAAUACUAUGUGCCUUCUAUGAAAAUAUAUAUGUAUUCAAAACUUGCACCUCUCAUUAUUCAUACUUACAUUACAAGUAUAUAUAUAUAAAAAAACAUAAACAACAUAAACGUGCUCAAAAUGCAAGACAUGCAGCAAUGCCUUCGUGGCCCAAACUCAAUUGAAUAGAAUUGAUCUACACGAAAUCUUGCAGAAUCCUGGGAAAAAAGGGAUAAAUAGGAAAAUAAUGAGGUUGCAACUCAGUGAGUAGAUAUAAUUUAUAUAUAUAUAAAAUAAAGUAGUGUGGGAAACCACGUUAUAUACAUACACGACAAAACUGCAAAAGUACAGUGUGAGAAAACCUCUCAAUACCUGGUGAAAUUUAAUUACGUUGCACGAGUAGAGUAACCUAACUCUCAAUACGCAUGCACAGAGUCUACGGGGGAGGGUACAUAUGGUGACUAACAAUCACAUCUCAUGACUCAAUCAUACAUAUAAUAUGCGUACAUAUAAUCAUAACAUGAUAUUAAAACAUAAUUUCAAACAUAAAUAUUUCACGGAAUACAUAAUAGUAUUAGUAAUAUCCACUCACAGAUCAUGUUUGACUCCAGGAUUCGUUAGGGCUCCUAUGGGUUCCUGAAUCCUCGAGUUCCUCUCACUAAUUCAUUGGAUAUUAAUCUAAUUGUUCAAUUUCAUUUCCUGCUGUGACAUUCCCUCUCAAUUCAUCUUUUAAACUUCUUUUCCCACUCUUGGCUUCUUCCUUUAUUUUAUUUAUUUUCUUCUUUUUCUUUUCUUUCCUCUUCUCUUUUUCUCUCGGUUUUCUUCUUUGUCUUGUCUGUCUCACUUCGAAAAAUGAUACAAAAAGAGAACUGCUUUCAAUUCCUUCAAAUUAUAUAUGGCCACCGACUCAAGCACACAAGUGAGGCAUACAGGUGAAGCAAGGAUGUGCCUUGCAUGAAGCUGGUAGCUUCUUGUUGCUUUGAUAAGUAGCCACGUUUGGCUUAUAAAGAAGCGGUGAAGCAUGCACGUGCAUGUCACACACACACACACUCUUCCCUUAAUAGUAGAACUAGAGUGGUUAGUUAAUAGAACUACUUAAAUUAGAACCCUUGAGGUAAAAUUUUAAUGGGACAUUGGUCCUUCCCCUAUUUAUAAGUAACAAAUGUGUUUUUUUUUUUAAAUAGUUUUCUUUUGUAUUGUUCUAACGUGGUUGGUAGCGUAUUCAUAUUUAGCUGGUGUUUUUUUUCUUCUUCUUAAAUCUAAAUAGAUAUGAAUUAGACUAAAAUUCUAAAUAAAGUUAAAUGUAUGAAUCUAACUGACAUUUUUAUUUUUAUUUUGAGUUACUAAAAAUAUGUACUAAGUCAUUUGUUUAACUUAAAAAAAAAUCAACAUUUUUACAUUUGUACCCUUAUAAAUUGAUGCUAAACAAAUAAUAAGCAUCUCAAAUAAUAUAAAUAAGAUAAUAUAUGAUCAUAACAUAAAUUAUGUUCAGUUGAAUAUGAAUCUUUUAUAUUUUAGAUUAGUAUAUGUCAAUCAAUUUUAUUGUAGUUUAUGAUUUUUUAUUUGAAAAAUAUUCAUAAAAAAUAUAAAGAUAAAUAAUGCUCGUUUGAAGAAAAGAAAAAAAAGUAAUAGUCUAUUGUUAUAUUAUCAUAAGUUAUAGAGAUGGGUAAUAAUGUUAAUUAGCAAAUUUUAUUUAGGUAAGGAUGAAAAUUAAUUAAUCAGAUGGGGAUAUUUUGAGAAUAUAUACUAAUGAUGUCAUUCACACUUUUUACAUUAAGCAAAAAUACUAAAAAAUAGCUUAAUAACCAUGACUAAAGUUAGAAAGUGAAAAGGACUUAUUUAAUUAAGUCAAUUAAAUCAUAAAGUCAGAAAAAAAAACCAUUAGCCAUUUACCUUUUUAUUCUUAAAUGUACUCUCCAUCAUUUGUGUAUAUAUAUUGGUUGAUACCUUUGGCUCCCUUCAUCAGUUCUGUAAAAAAAAAAAAAAAAAAAUGAAUCCUCACGGCUUGUUCUGCCCAAAUAUUCUCUCAUUUAUUUUUGUAAUUUUGUUAUCGUUUCAUGGGGAGGCUUUGGCAGCUGAAAAUCAUGAAAAUUUUCUCAAGUGUCUUUCUCUACAAUCUAACACCAUUUCGAAAGUGAUUUACACCCAAAACAACUCUUCAUAUUCAUCAGUAUUAAAGGCUUCAAUAAAAAAUCUCAUUUUCUCAACCCCCACAAACCCGAAACCUGUAUUCGUCAUCACCCCAUUUCAUGUGUCCGAAAUUCAAGCAGCCGUUAAAUGCUCCAAAAAAAAUGGUCUGCAAAUUAGAGUGCGAAGUGGAGGUCAUGAUCAUGAGGGUCUUUCCUCUAUUUCUGACGUUCCUUUCAUCAUCAUUGAUUUGAUAAAUUUCAUUGAGAUCAGUGUUGAUGUAGAAGAAAAAACAGCAUGGGUUGAAUCUGGUGCUACCAUCGGGCAACUUAAUUAUAGAAUUGCUGAGAAGAGCCAGAAUCUGCUAACCUUUCCGGUAGGAACUUGCCCUGGUGUGGGCGUUGGUGGACAUUUUAGUGGGGGCGGCUACGGUGUCCUGUUGCGUAAGUACGGGAUGGCUGCUGACCACAUAGUUGAUGCUCACAUGGUUGACGUCAAAGGUGAGAAAUUUUAAAGAACAAAUACAGAGAAAAUAGCUUCUCAAAAAAAAAUAAAAAAUAAAAGUUACAGAGAAAAUAGCAAUAAUAAGAUUCAGAGUAGGUUUAAUAGGUGAGUUUAUACAGGUGACAGAAUUUGAAGGUUUUUAUUACCAUUUCUCAAACUAUGGAGAGUGGCGACUUGCUAUAAUCAGUAUAAUUUGAGAAUGAAUGACAAACAAAAAUUAAUCAAUCAAUUAUUUUUCUAUCCAGAAUUUAGGAAAAAAAAUAUUAGGAGUGGAUAAAACUCAGAUCAAUUUUUCUAUAAUAUACCUCGGCCAAGUCUCUGGGGCUCAUUCAAACGGGGGCGGAUUUACUAUAGGACACUGGAAAAAAAAAUCUUUAAUAAUUUAUUUAGUUUUCCUAAAAUUCUCAAUAAAUUUUUUUGAAGCACCCACUAAUUUAUAGUCAAGCCUGCAAUAUAUGUUACACUUAAAUUCUCAUACGCCAAAUUUUUAAAUUUAAAUAAAAAAUAUGGGCUUUGCAAACUAAAAUCAAACCCAUAAAUAUUAAUAUUAAUUUAAUUUUUAGACGGGCCACAAACUCAUUAAUAAUUUUUUUAUUAAUCUUACUUUUUUCAAUUCCACCACUAAUCCAGGGCCCAUAAAAAAUUCCUAACAUCUUUUUAUUUUUGUUGUUUACAUAGAAAAAGACUUAUUUAAUAACAUUGAUAACAAAGUUGUAAUACAAUGUAUCAAUAUAUGAAUACUAGUAAAAGACAAUUGUAAAUAUAUAUUGUAGUAUUAUAAAUCUUUUAAAUUUAUAUCUUUAUUACUUUUUAAAUUUUUUUAUAUUAUCUUUGAAUAAGCCCUCAGUGAAUCACUAUGCUGUCUGCGCCCCUAUGCUGUCUGCGCCCCUGUUCAAUUAUAUGUCGAUUUGUCUGCAUUUUCCAUCUUUGUUUCGCUUCUUUUCAGGUAGAUUUCUAAAUAGAGAAUCAAUGGGAGAAGAUCUAUUUUGGGCCAUUCGCGGAGGCGGAGGAGCUAGCUUUGGAAUCAUUGUUUCGUGGAAAAUAAAUCUAGUUGCUGUUCCACCAACUGUGACGGUAUUCAACGUCCCGAGAACCUUAGAACAAAAUGCAACAAAACUACUUUUCAAAUGGCAGUGCAUUGCAGACAAGGUUCAUGAAGAUUUAUUCAUCUCACCCUUCUUAUUACGAGUGAAUUCCACUAUGGUCUCCGUAUUCUCGGCCUUGUUUCUUGGUGGGGUUGAUAGGCUGCUUCCAUUGAUGCAGGACAGUUUUCCUGAGCUCGGUUUGACCAGAAAAGACUGUAGAGAAAUGACUUUUGUUGAAUCUAUCGUCUAUCUUGAUGGAUAUGAGGUUGAAGAGCCGAUUAAUGUGGAUGUAUUGCUUGGUAGGGAUUUUCACGUUAGGUUUUUCAGAGGAAAAGUAGACUAUUUAACAGAACCAAUUCCCGAA
rnacentral:lncRNA from 1 species